UGCCAGCAGCCGCGGUAAUACGGAGGGGGUUAGCGUUAAUCGGAAUUACUGGGCGUAAAGCGCAUGCAGGUGGUUCAUUAAGUCGGAUGUGAAAGCCCCGGGCUCAACCUGGGAACUGCAUUCGAUACUGGCAGACUAGAGUGCGGGAGAGGGAGGUAGAAUUCCAUGUGUAGCGGUGAAAUGCGUAGAUAUGUGGAGGAAUACCAGUGGCGAAGGCGGCCUCCUGGCUCGACACUGACACUGAGGCGCGAAAGCGUGGGGAGCAAACAGGAUUAGAUA
rnacentral:rRNA from 1 species